rnacentral:misc_RNA from 1 species
AUGCUUGCGACGAUGGAGAACUACCAAAUAAUCGAGUCCAUCGGAGAGGGCUCCUUUGGCAAAGUGUACAAAGCCCGUAUCAAGGGCACGGGCCAAAUAGUAGCAAUGAAAUUCAUUGUCAAGAAAGGCAAAAACGAGAAGGAGCUGAAAAAUCUGAGGAGCGAGAUCGAGAUUUUGACGAAGCUGAAUCAUCCGCAUAUUAUCAUGCUCUUUGACUCAUUUGAGACGGAUUCCGACUUUGUAGUGGUGAUGGAGUAUGCACAGGGUGAGCUAUAUGACAUCCUGGAAGAUGAAAAGCAGCUGCCGGCGAAGGAGGUGCAGAAGAUUGCAAAGCAACUCAUCCAGGCACUGAAUUACCUUCACUCUAAUCGAAUCAUUCACCGUGAUAUGAAGCCGCAGAACAUCUUAAUUGGACAGAACGGUGCUGUAAAACUGGCAGAUUUCGGCUUUGCGCGCUCUAUGAGCUACAACACAAUCGUACUAACGAGCAUCAAGGGUACACCGCUCUACAUGGCUCCGGAGCUGGUGCAAGAGCGCGCGUACGACAACCGAGUUGACCUGUGGUCGCUAGGCUGCAUAUUGUAUGAAUUGUACUACGGCAAACCGCCUUUCUACACGAACAACCUUUUUGCUUUGAUCAAGAAGAUCGUUUGUGAGCCAGUCAAGUACGAUUCCAAGGCCAAUGAUCCGAUUAGCCCCGAGUUCAAGAGCUUUCUUAGCGGCCUCUUGACCAAGUCUGCGUCCUCGCGGCUCAAUUGGCCUGAACUGCUGAACCACCCAUUUGUGCAGCUGACGAAGAGUGACGCGUCGUGGCAGGAUGCUAUUAUGCAGCACGAUUCGAGGAUGAAGGCCCGAAUGGAUAGACUAGGGUGUCUUCGACUUCAUGGAAACGCUGGUCGUGCGGCCCCAAAGCGCAAGUCUACCCAAAGCGAUGACAUUUUCAACCUGAAGACAGUGCAGAAGCUCACGAGCGGUUGCGAGUUCGACGUCUGCGCCACACUCACCCAGCUGGUGCGGAUGGCUAGGGCGUCCAAUGGGGAUGUAACAAAAAGCACUGCUCUUCUUGGAGUGUUCGACUCCGGGGUCCUGGAGGCCGCGUUGACGCUGCUCAACGAGAAGCAGUCGGUGAAAGUUGUCGGUUUAGUGCUGCAGUUCGUGCAAGAGCUGGUAUUUCCGGAACAUGGUGAUUUGCUUGCCUUUCCCUCCCAGCGUCCGAAACGCGACGGGUUGGCGGUGUUAGAGGAAAAACACUCACGUCAGCAGGAGGAUCUGUUUAUUCGACAGCAGGUUGCUCUGAAGCUGAUGAAGAAGCCUCACACGGCGCUUGAUUUCAUCAUUAGCGAAAUAAGCAGCGGCGGCGAUUCUCUUGCCGAAACGUGUGUGAAGAUCAUGUUCCAGUGUUUCCGCUGGGAGAACAGCUUUGGACCGAUGGUGACACAGCUGCGGACUUUUCCGGAAAUGUGGGCGGCCAUCCUCAAAUCUGUCAACCAUCACAGUGUCUCAAGGGGCGAGACGUCGCACGAGUAUGCGGCUCUUGUUUUUCACACGGUGUCUAUCGUCAUUCCGCACGUCAAGCUGGCAUCCCCGCAGCGGAUAAAUCGUGAGGAGGUGCUGGAGCUCGUGACGCAAGGUCUCUCCGCUGUUUGCUAUUACGAGGCCGGCAUGGUAGACGCGCAUCGGAAUAAAACCCCCCCGCUGGUCUAUGCAGCGGCAGCGGCACUCCUCAUCGCCUUUGCUCAUCGAGAGCUGAAGGAUAUUGUCUCGUUUAAGGUGAAUGGUGCGCUGCUAGACGGGAUUUACUCCAUCGUCGAUGCCGUGACAGACGCACCGAGUCGACCUGUAACGCCGCGGGCGCUGGGAAGUAGCUAUGGGUAUCCUGACUACGGCUUGCUAGAUGGCGUCGCCCAUAUGCUGUCGCUGGUUUUCUCAGACUCAGACUCGCUCGUCUACGCCAAGCUGCCUGGUAGAUCAGAGCACCGCUUUUUGGAGAGUGACACCAAAAGCCUGGCACUGUUGGUCAUGACACUUCUGCGUGACAGCGAUCCAAGGAUGGAAUUGUCACCCAACGGUGUCCAGACGCUGUUGCGAGCGGCGCAGCAGAUAUUUCAGCAGGAGAAGGAGCAAGCUCUGUCGAUGAGUUUGCUGAUGGAGCCGAUAGCCCCCUACUCAGGAGAGUCAGGGAGCCUAUGCUGGCUCUCAGUCAUCUGCCGCACAAUGAAAACCGAUUACUUCCGUCAGCUUUUUUACUGGCCGGCGUGUCGCGGCGGUGGCGCGACCGGCGUCAGCGCGCACGUGACAAUUGUGUCUCAGAUUUUAUCUGACUCACUGCGUCCCGUGAGCUCGUCCUCAAAUCCAACGCCUGUGGAGGACAAGCUGCUAGGCGACGUCAGCCGCGUUCUGUACAAGGAGAAAGUUAUCGAGCUGCUUGUGCACGCUAUGGACUACUCUGAGGGGGUUUUUCUCGGGAGCCCGUUCGCCAUCAUCGCGAAGCUGUGCGCCAACUCCGCAGACUCCAUCAAGGCCUUCGUAGACUGUGGCGGUGUAGACGCCGCUCGAAUCAGGCGUAUUCUCGACCCAGACAAAGCAGGCACAGGGCUGAUGUCGGACGGAUUGGUGGUGCUUUCGCAAAUGGCACGCAUGUCUGCAGAGUUUUAUGAGCCCAUUCAUAGAUCCAACCUGUAUGAUUGCUUGGCUGCGCUCCUCCAGCACUCAGAAAAAGAUUUACGCGGCAAGACAUGCACGCUUAUUGGGAAUUUGUGUAAGCACUCCGACUUCUUCUUUGAGCCACUUGAGAAGAACCACAUUGUAGAGCGGCUGGUGAAGUGCUGCAGCGACAGCGACGCACAGACACAGAAGUUGGCAGCGUUUGCCAUUGGCAAUGCUGCGUUUCAUAGUGGCUAUCUGUACAAUUUGCUGAGCCCAGCCAUUCCCUCGCUGGUGGGUCUUCUGGCGUGUGGGGACGCAAAGACGCGUCAAAACGCUGCCGGGGCGCUGAGCAACUUUGUUCGAAACGGAGACCAGCUCGUGAGCUCCUUGGCAGAGUCCAGCGUCGUUGAAUCUCUGCUGAAAAUGUUGCGUGACGACGACACACCGUCAUCAAAAAAGGUCGCAGUGCUCACUAUCAACUCGUUUUGUGCAUACGAUGUAUUCCGUCGCAAGUUUAUUGCGCUGAACUUGCGAGAGGAUAUUCGCAAGCUGCAGCAGGACCCUAACGCGCGCGCAGACCCCUCAAUUCAAAAGUACGUUGGCAAUCUCGUAGAUCGACUUGGUUGACAUGCGCCUGCAUCACCGCGUCGGGUAUCUCUGCUAUUUCGGACUUCAUAGUUGUCGUUUUCCGGGUUUGUUUGAUAGCAAACACCACUCCUUUUGUCUUUGUUGUUGUCUUCCUCUUUCCUCCCCCUUUUCCUUCCCUUCGCCUUUUUUCUCCAUUGUACACCCCUCUUUUUUGUGCGGCUUGUUUGCCUUCACCAAACUUCGAAAG